rnacentral:rRNA from 1 species
UACGAAGGGGGCUAGCGUUGCUCGGAAUUACUGGGCGUAAAGCGCACGUAGGCGGAUCUUUAAGUCAGGGGUGAAAUCCUGGAGCUCAACUCCAGAACUGCCUUUGAUACUGAGGACCUUGAGUUCGGGAGAGGUGAGUGGAACUGCGAGUGUAGAGGUGAAAUUCGUAGAUAUUCGCAAGAACACCAGUGGCGAAGGCGGCUCACUGGCCCGAUACUGACGCUGAGGAGCGAAAGCGUGGGUAGCAAACAGG